rnacentral:lncRNA from 1 species
AUGAUUCCUGUUAGAUAUAUAUAAAAGAUGGAAAGAGUGUGAGUUUGGCGCAAUGAGGUCACGAGUUCAAAUCCUGGAAACAACCUUUUCACUGAUGAAGUAUGACUGCAUAUAUCUACCUUUUCCAGACUCAAUAAGUGGAGCCUCAUACACUAAGCCACCUUAUAUAUAUAGAGAUGCCCCUUUAAAGUGUGUUAGCCAGUUGGAUAGAACAUGUAUAUUCUGAGAUUCCUACCCUACCAAAAUUUCUUCAUUAAGGGUUACACUGAUUUACCAUUAUCAAAAUAUAGUUGCCCUUCUUUCAGCAUGAGGCCUAGUAUUUGAAAAGCAGCCUUAUAGCUAUGCAAAUUGGCUGAGUGUGAGAUUUCUAUAUACAUAUUGCCACCAUCCAUCUAUGCAAUAAAAAUAUCACCAUCUCCACCAAGUUAUAAGUUUUGAUGGCGUGUCAGGGUUAACUUUCUUGUUUUACUACUAUUCAGUCAUGUAAUUACUAUAUGAUUAUAAAAAAUGUCGUCAUCAUAUCUGCUAAGUAUAAAGUCCAAAAUGAUGUGCUAAUAAUAAACACCAGUGAUAUCAAGCACUACAAGAUGAAUACAUAAACACCAUACUAUUAUAAUGACCAUAUCAGGAAUUAGAGAGACAAGUAUAUAAAUGGUGAGGAAUACAGAAAGGUGAAGACAAUAACUUUUAAGGAUGUGGGGACCAGAGAAAUUAUUGUAUACUCUAAGAGCAUUAUAACUGCAUGGUUUAAGAUCAACCACUGCCACUAAUUGUGAAUUGAUAACUUAAGAUCUGUAAAUGGUGAAAAUUCUUAUAGGAGCAUUUAUUCUGUUCCAUAAGCAUACUAGAGUUUUUCAGUGGACCUACAAUAAUUGUAGUAAAAGUGUAAAACACACACAUGCACAAACUAUGUACAAUUUACUGCUGUGAUAAAUUUUUAUGGGUAGGUACCUUAAUUGAAAUAGCUACGUUGCAAUAUAAUGCAGGCAUUCAAAGCCACAUGGGCAUCUUCUUGCAAGGUAGAAGCAUCAACCAUGCUAGUUCCAACAGAUUAUGUCUUCUACGUGGGACCUAUUUCAUUCUCUGGCCCAUACUGUAAACCCAACAUUGUUUUUCAGGUAACAGUUAACACAACUAAGAAAAAUGAAAGUUAGCAUCAAAAUAAAACAAGACUAGUAGGUAACAUGUGAAAACACUCAUCCCAAUAUAUUCACAAGUCACAAUAGCAAUAUAUGAUUUAACAUAAGAACAAUAUACACGGGCCUGUCCUUUUCCCAAUUCAGAAAAUUACAUAACAAAGAACAGUUAUUGCAUUUUGUCCUAGAAACCUUGCAUUAACCACCAACUCUUCCUAUUACUAUUUUAGUUUAUUGUAAAAACGCUUUACAUUUUUUUACAUUGUCAUAUUUAUAACAAUGUGUCAAUGUCAAUACUCCAUAGUGUAAAAACUUUUACACCAAAAAUGGGUUACAAAAAAAUCACUUGUCGAAAUGUGUAUUUACCUCUACACGGUAAGUUGGUAACUGUCCUUUUCGGUUAUAGCAACCGACAGUACAGUUGGAAUUUAGGCUAAUAAGGUGAUACUAUGUCAGCUUGAUGGUACAAUUAUUGCUCCAACAAACUCCAAUGCUUGGGGUGGAGGAUUGCUACAAUGGCUAGAAUUCACAAAGUUGGUGGGAAUUACCAUUCAAGGAAAUGGUGUCAUUGAUGGAAGAGGCUCUGUCUGGUGGCAAGACCAACCAUUUGAUGAGCCUAUAGAUGAUGAAGAAAAGCUCAUUGUCCCUUUAAACCACACAGAGAAGCCACCAUUGCCUGUAAUUAUCUUUGUUACUUUUCACAUUAAUAACACUUUAUUGCUAACCUCAGCUAAUGAUUUAUAUUUAUGCAUUUGUAUUAGAUACAAAGUGAGAUGGGAAGAAAAAUGCCAAGCAUCAAGCCAACUGUGAGGACCACUUUAACUUUACAAGACCAAUUAGGUUUAUGUUUAGAAGUUUUUUCACUUCAUGGUUGUGUUUUUGUUGCACAGGCACUAAGGUUUUAUGGGAGCUUUAAUACAACAGUCACAGGCAUUACAAUUCAAAAUAGUCCUCAAUGUCACCUCAAGUUUGACAACUGCAAUGGAGUCCUGGUUCAUAAUGUGAGUGUAUCAUCUCCGGGUGAUAGUCCUAACACAGAUGGAAUUCACCUUCAGAAUUCAAAAAAUGUGGUGAUUCACAGCAGUAAAUUAGCAUGUGGUAAUACUUCAAUUAUCGAAAAGUAAUUGCACUAUUCUAUGAGCAUUAAGACAACUGAGUUCACGAAAUAAGUUUGAGGGUUGAAUAAAAAGGGUGGCCCAAUACACGAGGCUCCCACUUAGUAAGGUCUAGGGAAGGUUGAUGUAAGCAGCCUUACCCCCACAAACGAAGAGGUUUUUUGCAAAAAGUUUGAGGAUUGAAUAAAAACAUAAUAUAUGUGGACUUCAGCUCUAAAACAACUGGGAGGACAUAAAUAAAUACAAAACAAAAAGGAAGAGAAUAGAAAGACAAAGAUUAGAUGCAUAGCAUAUGAAUAUGAUCCUCAAAAGAGCAUGGCAUUAUCAUAUCCUAUCCUUGGUCACAUGGCAGCUAAGAAUCUCCUAAUACUUUUACAUUAUAGCCAUCAAUAACAUUGACAAGUCAAGUCCAAACCCCACAUUGCAUCAUCUAAUAUUAUCUUACUCUUUAGUAUCCAAAUAAGAAAAUAAGAACCCCCUUUUGUAUUUCUUCCAUUAUCUAUUUCUUUAUUAGAAAACAGAUCAUCUGCUUUUGAUCCUUCUUACCAACCUUUUAAAGGAGGACCUACUUAGCAGAACAAAAGAUUAACAUUGCAUGUCAGAGAAUCUAUUACAAGCUGAACAAAAAUUUUCAAUAGAUAACACUACAGAUAAAAGGUCAUGCAUCUAGGCAAAAACCACAGCUAAACAAAGUGAAGUAGAAUAAUACACAUACGUAACUCAAGUUGCUAAGUGUUGUUUUGAAUUUCAACUGAUGCAGGAGAUGAUUGUAUUUCUAUACAAACUGGAUGCUCAAAUGUAUAUGUAUAUGAUAUCAACUGUGGGCCAGGACAUGGAAUCAGCAUUGGAAGUUUGGGAAAGGAUAACACCAGAGCCUGUGUCUCAAACAUUACAGUCAGAGAUGUCAAGAUGCACAACACAAUGAAUGGUGUCAGAAUCAAAACAUGGCAGGUAAAAUAAAGAUUCCUAAGUUGAAAGUUAAGAAAUAUUUUCAACAUAAAAACAAUUUACUUUAACCAACUAUUAUAUAUAUAAGUAUAAAACUAUGGUUUAUGAAUGCUAAGGAUGAGUCAAUCCAGGCAUUACCAGAGUUUGAUGAACUAGUUUGAUUUCUCACCAAAGCUAAAUAACAUAUAUGCAGGGUGGAUCAGGGUCAGUGCAGGGAAUAGUAUUCUCAAACAUACAAGUAUCUGAAGUUAAACUCCCAAUAGUGAUUGACCAAUUCUAUUGUGAUAAAAGAACAUGCAAAAACCAAUCAUCAGCUGUGUCUCUAGAAGGAAUCAACUAUGAAAGAAUAAGGGGUACUUACACAGUUAAGCCAGUGCACUUUGCAUGCAGUGAUUUUCUUCCAUGUGUAGAUGUUUCUCUAACAUCUGUAGAGUUAAAACCAGUUCAAGAACAAUACCACCUAUAUGAUCCAUUCUGCUGGCAGACUUAUGGUGAAUUAAGAACUCCUACUGUUCCACCAAUUGGUUGUCUUCAGAUUGGGAAGCCAUCAAGCAACAGAGUUCAGACAGAUCAUGAUUCCUGUUAGAUAUAUAUAAAAGAUGGAAAGAGUGUGAGUUUGGCGCAAUGAGGUCACGAGUUCAAAUCCUGGAAACAACCUUUUCACUGAUGAAGUAUGACUGCAUAUAUCUACCUUUUCCAGACUCAAUAAGUGGAGCCUCAUACACUAAGCCACCUUAUAUAUAUAGAGAUGCCCCUUUAAAGUGUGUUAGCCAGUUGGAUAGAACAUGUAUAUUCUGAGAUUCCUACCCUACCAAAAUUUCUUCAUUAAGGGU